rnacentral:rRNA from 1 species
AGUGAACGCUGGCGGCAGGCCUAAUACAUGCAAGUCGAACGGCAGCACAGCAGAGCUUGCUCUGUGGAUGGCGAGUGGCGGACGGGUGAGGAAUACAUGGGAAUCUGCCCAGUCGUGGGGGAUAACGUAUGGAAACGUACGCUAAUACCGCAUGCGCCCUACGGGGGAAAGCCGGGGACCGCAAGGCCUGGCGCGAUUGGAUGAGCCCAUGUUCGAUUAGCUAGUUGGCGGGGUAAAGGCCCACCAAGGCGACGAUCGAUAGCUGGUCUGAGAGGAUGAUCAGCCACACUGGAACUGAGACACGGUCCAGACUCCUACGGGAGGCAGCAGUAGGGAAUAUUGGACAAUGGGGGCAACCCUGAUCCAGCCAUGCCGCGUGAGUGAAGAAGGCCCUCGGGUUGUAAAGCUCUUUUGUCCCGGAAAGAAAGCAAUCGGUUAAUACCCGGUUGUUCUGACGGUACCGGAAGAUAAGCACCGGCUAACUUCGUGCCAG